AGUGAACGCUGGCGGCAGGCCUAACACAUGCAAGUCGAACGGCAGCACAGUAAGAGCUUGCUCUUACGGGUGGCGAGUGGCGGACGGGUGAGGAAUACAUCGGAAUCUACUUUUUCGUGGGGGAUAACGUAGGGAAACUUACGCUAAUACCGCAUACGACCUACGGGUGAAAGCAGGGGAUCUUCGGACCUUGCGCGAUUGAAUGAGCCGAUGUCGGAUUAGCUAGUUGGCGGGGUAAAGGCCCACCAAGGCGACGGUCCGUAGCUGGUCUGAGAGGAUGGUCAGCCACACUGGAACUGAGACACGGUCCAGACUCCUACGGAAGGCAGCAGUGGGGAAUAGUGGACAAGGGGCGCAAGCCUGAUCCAGCCAUACCGCGGGGGUGAGGAAGGCCUUCGGGUUGUAAAGCCCUUUUGUUGGGAAAGAAAAGCAGCAGGUUAAUACCCCGCUGUUCUGACGGUACCCAAAGAAUAGGCACCGGCUAACUUCGUG
rnacentral:rRNA from 1 species